CACGUAGGGCGCAAGCGUUGUCCGGAAUUAUUGGGCGUAAAGAGCUCGUAGGUGGUUUGUUACGUCUGCUGUGAAAACCUAGGGCUUAACCCUGGGCUUGCAGUGGAUACGGGCAGACUAGAGGUAGGUAGGGGAGAAUGGAAUUCUCGGUGUAGCGGUGAAAUGCGUAGAUAUCGAGAGGAACACCUGCGGCGAAGGCGGGUUGCUGGGCUGACACUGACGCUGAUGCGCGAAAGCCAGGGGAGCGAACGGG
rnacentral:rRNA from 1 species